CUUGCUUUUGUGGUGGGACAUUGUCAGAUUGUAAAGGUGGAUGCCGCUUUAGGUGCUAGGAUUGCAUUAGAUUAGGUGUCCUAGUGCCGGAGCAAGUUUUCAUGCGACCAUCUUGCUCCGUGGUUAGCCACGCCCCCCCAUUUUGGUGACUUUUGAUAACCUCGGGCCGAUCGCACAUCCCCGUGACGGCGACGACACAUUCGGAUGUCUGCCCUAUUAACUUUCAAUGGUACUUUCUGCGCCUACCAUGGUGACCACGGGUAACGGGGAAUCAGGGUUCGAUUCCAGAAAGGGAGCCUGAGAAACGGCUACCACAUCCAAGGAAGGCAG